rnacentral:rRNA from 1 species
GACGAACGCUGGCGGCGUGCUUAACACAUGCAAGUCGAACGGAAAGGCCCUGCUUUUGUGGGGUGCUCGAGUGGCGAACGGGUGAGUAACACGUGAGUAACCUGCCCCUGACUUUGGGAUAACUUCAGGAAACUGGGGCUAAUACCGGAUAGGAGCUCCUGCUGCAUGGUGGGGGUUGGAAAGUUUCGGCGGUUGGGGAUGGACUCGCGGCUUAUCAGCUUGUUGGUGGGGUAGUGGCUUACCAAGGCUUUGACGGGUAGCCGGCCUGAGAGGGUGACCGGCCACAUUGGGACUGAGAUACGGCCCAGACUCCUACGGGAGGCAGCAGUGGGUAAUAUUGCACAAUGGGCGGAAGCCUGAUGCAGCAACGCCGCGUGCGGGAUGACGGCCUUCGGGUUGUAAACCGCUUUCGCCUGUGACGAAGCGUGAGUGACGGUAAUGGGUAAAGAAGCACCGGCUAACUACGUG